rnacentral:rRNA from 1 species
AGUUUGAUCCUGGCUCAGGAUGAACGCUAGCUACAGGCUUAACACAUGCAAGUCGAGGGGCAGCAUGGUCUUAGCUUGCUAAGGCCGAUGGCGACCGGCGCACGGGUGAGUAACACGUAUCCAACCUGCCGUCUACUCUUGGACAGCCUUCUGAAAGGAAGAUUAAUACAAGAUGGCAUCAUGAGUUCGCAUGUUCACAUGAUUAAAGGUAUUCCGGUAGACGAUGGGGAUGCGUUCCAUUAGAUAGUAGGCGGGGUAACGGCCCACCUAGUCUUCGAUGGAUAGGGGUUCUGAGAGGAAGGUCCCCCACAUUGGAACUGAGACACGGUCCAAACUCCUACGGGAGGCAGCAGUGAGGAAUAUUGGUCAAUGGGCGCAGGCCUGAACCAGCCAAGUAGCGUGAAGGAUGACUGCCCUAUGGGUUGUAAACUUCUUUUAUAAAGGAAUAAAGUCGGGUAUGUAUACCCGUUUGCAUGUACUUUAUGAAUAAGGAUCGGCUAACUCCGUGCCAGCAGCCGCGGUAAUACGGAGGAUCCGAGCGUUAUCCGGAUUUAUUGGGUUUAAAGGGAGCGUAGAUGGAUGUUUAAGUCAGUUGUGAAAGUUUGCGGCUCAACCGUAAAAUUGCAGUUGAUACUGGAUAUCUUGAGUGCAGUUGAGGCAGGCGGAAUUCGUGGUGUAGCGGUGAAAUGCUUAGAUAUCACGAAGAACUCCGAUUGCGAAGGCAGCCUGCUAAGCUGCAACUGACAUUGAGGCUCGAAAGUGUGGGUAUCAAACAGGAUUAGAUACCCUGGUAGUCCACACGGUAAACGAUGAAUACUCGCUGUUUGCGAUAUACAGCAAGCGGCCAAGCGAAAGCGUUAAGUAUUCCACCUGGGGAGUACGCCGGCAACGGUGAAACUCAAAGGAAUUGACGGGGGCCCGCACAAGCGGAGGAACAUGUGGUUUAAUUCGAUGAUACGCGAGGAACCUUACCCGGGCUUAAAUUGCAGAUGAAUUACGGUGAAAGCCGUAAGCCGCAAGGCAUCUGUGAAGGUGCUGCAUGGUUGUCGUCAGCUCGUGCCGUGAGGUGUCGGCUUAAGUGCCAUAACGAGCGCAACCCUUGUUGUCAGUUACUAACAGGUUCCGCUGAGGACUCUGACAAGACUGCCAUCGUAAG